rnacentral:tRNA from 1 species
GGUGAGGUGUCCGAGCGGUUUAAGGAGCUGGUCUUGAAAACCAGUGAUGCGGCAACGCACCGUGGGUUCGAAUCCCACUCUCUCCGCCA